UACGGGGGGUGCGAGCGUUGUCCGGAAUCACUGGGCGUAAAGGGCGCGUAGGUGGUUUGAUAAGGGUGUGGUGAAAGUCCGGGGCUCAACCCCGGAUCUGCCGUGCCGACUGUCAAACUCGAGGACUGUAGAGGCAGACGGAAUUCCGGGUGUAGCGGUGGAAUGCGUAGAGAUCCGGAGGAAGACCGGUGGCGAAGGCGGUCUGCUGGGCAGUUUCUGACACUGAGGCGCGACAGCGUGGGGAG
rnacentral:rRNA from 1 species